rnacentral:lncRNA from 1 species
CUUUCUUGGUCGAGAUCACCGGUUCAGGUGUUGCCGGUUUCUCAAGUUUAAAUGGGGUUGAUGCGUGCUUCUUCAGGAAUUUGUACAAUUCCACUACUGUACGGUCAACAUCCACAGUGAUCUGUUUUUUUUUGGUUUACGAUAGACAGUUAUAACAAUUUCAGUACUCAAGUAAAAAUAUUUGCAGGUUUUCAAAACACUGUUUGAUAUAUUUGCUAACCGGAUCGAAGCUCUUGUUUCCACCAGGGAAGAACAGGAUUGUUGGGAACCCAUCAGCCUGAACAAAAAGAGAGUAAGAAAAAAACCAAAAUCAGAUCUCUGUGUCUUGAAUCACCAAAAGCUCUUUCGUAAUUUUUUUUUGUUUUUAUUAAUCACCUUUGCUCUAGGAUGCUCAUUGCUGGUACCAUCCAUCUUUGCUACAACUAACGAGUCAAUGCCUCUUAAAUACUUUCCAAGCUUGUUGUAAAUAGGC